rnacentral:rRNA from 1 species
GGGCAUAAAAGUGUGCGUAGGCGGGCGUAUAAGUCAGUGGUGAAAGUCCUGGGAGCUUAACUCCAGAACUGCCAUUGAUACUAUAUGUCUUGAAUAUGGUGGAGGUAAGCGGAAUAUGUCAUGUAGCGGUGAAAUGCAUAGAUAUGACAUAGAACACCUAUUGCGAAGGCAGCUUACUACGCCUAUAUUGACGCUGAGGCACGAAAGCGUGGGGAUCAAACAGGAUUUAGAUACCCUGGUAGUCCACGCCCUAAACGAUGAUUACUCGACGUGUGCGAUAAACGGUACGCGUCUGAGCGAAAGCAUUAAGUAAUCCACCUGGGAAUACGACCGCAAGGUUGAAACU